GAUGAACGCUGGCGGCGUGCCUAAUACAUGCAAGUCGAGCGGUAACACUUCGGGUGACGAGCGGCGGACGGCUGAGUAACACGUAGGAACGUACCCCAAACUGAGGGAUAAGCACCAGAAAUGGUGUCUAAUACCGCAUGUGAUCUUCGGAUUAAAGCUUCGGCGGUUUGGGAACGGCCUGCGCAUGAUUAGCUUGUUGGUGAGGUAAAAGCUCACCAAGGCGACGAUCAUUAGCUGGUCUGAGAGGAUGAUCAGCCAGACUGGGACUGAGACACGGCCCAGACUCCUACGGGAGGCAGCAGUAGGGAAUUUUCCACAAUGGGCGAAAGCCUGAUGGAGCAACGCCGCGUGCAGGAUGAAUGCCUUCGGGUUGUAAACUGCUUUUAUCUGUGACGAAUAUGACGGUAGCAGAUGAAUAAGGAUCGGCUAACUCCGUGCCAGCCGCCGCCGUAACAC
rnacentral:rRNA from 1 species